rnacentral:rRNA from 1 species
AGAUUGAACGCUGGCGGCAUGCCUUACACAUGCAAGUCGAACGGCAGCACGGGGGCAACCCUGGUGGCGAGUGGCGAACGGGUGAGUAAUGCAUCGGAACGUGCCCAGUAGUGGGGGGAUAACUAGUCGAAAGAUUAGCUAAUACCGCAUACGACCUAAGGGUGAAAGCGGGGGAUUCGCAAGAACCUCGCGCUAUCGGAGCGGCCGAUGUCUGAUUAGCUAGUUGGCGGGUAAAGCCCACCAAGGCUUCGAUCAGUAGCUGGUCUGAGAGGACGACCAGCCACACGUGGGACUGAGACACGGCCCAGACUCCGUACGGGAGCAGCAGUAGGGAAUUUUGGAACAAGUGGGCGACGAAGCCUAGGACUCCAGCCAAGUCGCCGCGUGGACGGGAAGAACGGUCCGUUCGGUUA